AUGGACAUGGAGCACACCGACCUGCUGGAGGACAUACUCCGCGGACUACCACAACGCGCCCUCGCCAUCUCCCGCAGCGUCUGCAAGGCAUGGCGCGCCACCGUCGACCACCGCCGUCUGCUGCGAGCCGACCUGCUCCCGCUCUCGGUCGACGCUGUCAUCUACAACAUAGACAAGAUCGAUGCCCCAAAGCUCUUCGCACGCCGAUCAACGACGCGCUACAUCACCAGCAGGGUCGACUACCUCGACAACCGUCCAGACUACGCGGAGGUCACCGGUGAGAUCGCGGACUACUACAACGGCCUCCUCUUGAUUGAAACCGACAAGGUGGCCAACCCCGCCACGCGGCAGUGGGCGUCCUUGCCCCCGCUGCCCUGUGCGUGCUUCCGGCGGGAGGCGACCUGCGGACGUUGCUACAGCAACCGCUACCUCAUCUAUGACCCUACGGUCUCGCCGCAUUACGAGGUGUUUUACGUCCCCCGUGUCCCCCGUGAUGUACCAGCCGACGUGGCGUGCAGCACGGAGUGGCCACCUUUGCUGUAUGUCAUGCAUGUUUUCUCCUCAGUGACAAAUUGUUGGCGGGAAAGGUCAUUUAGACGAGAAGGAGAUGCUGCAGGGACAAUGGCCGACAUGAACUCAGACUUUAAUUCUGAUGGGAAAUUGUACUACUCCGCUCACUGGCAGGGCUCACUCUAUGUCCCUUUAAGGCAUGAUAAAGGUGAUUUUGUUAUGAGAAUAAAAUUAUGGAAUGACAAUUACCAAGUAAUCGAGCUGCCAAAAGGAGGCAGAGGAUCACUAUUUCGUUUGGGAAAAUCAAAGAAAGGGGUCUAUUGUGUACAGGAUAUCGAUGGCCGAUGCACAUUUAAGAUUUGGCUUCUUUCUGAAUCGCAUGCUGGCGCGAUACACUGGGUUUUAAAUAAUGAAAUCUGCUUUGAGACAGCCUGGAGAACAUAUCCUUGUAAACAUGACAGUGGACCAUGGAUCUCACAGUCGCUUCGACAAAAGGAAUCGUUGUUGGAAGAAGACGUCAACCUUGAAGUUGCAAAUAAAUACAACGACGCAAUAUCCAAAGAUGAUUUUGAAUGGGAUUCUGAUGAUGAAAAUCUUGUUACCACUGUGGACUGGCCGAAAAAGGGCAGCCCUGGUGCUCCAGCUCACCUUUUUUGGUGUCUGGGAUUCCAUCCUUACAAAGAAAUUGCCCUUUUCCAUGAUGAUUAUAGAAGCGCAACAUUUGCUUAUUAUUUAAAUAGCUCAAAGGUUCGAUACUUGGGAAUAAUGGAGCAUGAUUAUUCUGAUGUGGCUAUUUCCUUUGCUUACACACCGUGUUGGACGAUGGACUUGCCAGGAAGAAAAUGA
rnacentral:rRNA from 1 species